rnacentral:rRNA from 1 species
AGUAUAAAUAAUUCUACUUUGAAACUGCGAAUGGCUCAUUAUAUCAGUUAUAGUUUAUUAGAAAAAAUGUACUACUUGGAUAACCGUAGUAAUUCUAGGGCUAAUACAUGAGUAAAUCCUCGACUUUGAAAAGGUGUGUUUAUUAAUAUGAAAACCAUAUGCUUCGGCAUGAUAGUGAGUAAUAAUAACCUUUCAUAUCGUAUGUUGAAAUAACGAUAGUUCUUUCAAGUUUCUGCCCUAUCAGCUUUCGAUGGUAGUGUAUUGGACUACCAUGGCAGUAACGGGUAACGAAGAA